GAUAUUGGGUCCCUCCUUGGCUUCCUCUACAUGUUUAUCCACCCUACCCCCUCUUCGUGCGCCUUACCUUCAAGCCUGCAAGCUGCCGAGUCUUCAUUUUCAUUUGGCCGACCACGAGUUUUGUAUCAGCGAAGCCACCGAAACAGCUUGCUUCUCCACGCGUUCAAGCCUGCAGCUUCCUCAGUCAACAACACCCACAGAAGCCCUUUGUUGACCCAAUUUGCUGCUGCCCUCGCCCAUCUCCACUGAGUUUUGUCUUCCCACCACCAUCAUCAUCAUCCAACAUACACCAUCAUCUAACGCCAUCAUCAUGUUUCCUCCCCUCAGCCUUGCGUCUUCAGCUUCUUCGGUCAAAGCUUCUCCAAACUUGCUUUGAUUGUUCACACCGAAGACCGAAUCUGCUUCGCCGAGAGUCGUCCAACGCCUCCACCGAAGCCUCCCCUUCACGCAUCUUCAUCUCUGUUUCGCUUCUUGGCUGCCACCACACUCGUCCAGUCAACAAACGAACCACCGAAGCCCUGGUUGACCGUCUUCCACGAAGCCCCAGUCCACCGAACACUUCUCAGCUUUGGUCUUCACGCCCGCGACUCCUUAAACGCGCGCGUCGCCCCUCCACUCACAAAGACUCCACCAAAGCCUCAGCACUCGCCAGCAGCUGCUUCGUCCGUUUCUCCUCUUGCGCGUGCGUCUCGGCCCAGCAAUCCACUCGGCCACUCAGCCGAAGAAGCCCAGCCCGUCGAAGCUGCUGCUUCUCUUUCUUUGUUGCUCCUAGGAUUCAGCCCACGCAAGUUUUUAGAAGCCCGCUCAAUUCAGCCCAUCUGCAGAGACAUUUCAGUCCAGCCUUUGAAGCCCAUGGAUCCAGCGAAUUCUUCAGCCUAGUGAUUUUAAGCCCAUCUCCAGCAGAUUUUGAAGCCCAAGCUCAGGCCCAAGUUCAGUUGGUUUUAGCCCAUUUGAAGUUCAGCCCAUUUUGGGCUCGCGAAGAAGGCCCAAGCCUGCGACCAGCAGCCCUGCAGAAGCCCAAGACCGAAACUCAACCUUGCUGAGUAGUGUUGGGCCCGUUUUAGGCCCGGUCCAAGUCCAUCGAUGCCGCCGAAAAUUCGGUUUUCGGCCAUCGUCGCAUCGUCAUCACGGUGAACCGGUUUCCGUGAUUAACCGGUGAGUUUAUACUAUAAACUCUGCUUAGUAGGUUAAUGACGUUUAAGGGGUGUUUAGAUUUAUUUUAUUAGGAAUUAGGUGAUUAGUUAGAUUAAAUUAGAAAUGUAAUUAUUUAUUUGAGCAUGUUAGGUGGUUAGUAUGGUUUAGCUAAGGCCUAGAUAAAUUGUACUGUUUAUCUAGAAGGGUUCGGGAAUUUUUCCGAGUCCGUAUUGGUUAUUAAUUAAAUGAUUCUGGCCUAGGUUAGUAUUUUUAGAAUUUAAAUUGAAUUAUUUAACUAAUUUCAAUAAUUAUUUAAUUAUUAAAUAUUUUCCGGAAAUUAGGUCGGAAUAGCCGGUGACCGGAAUUUUGUGCUGAUUGCAAUGGUGUGGUUAAUUUCUACAAUUCAGUGUUAAAUUAUGCAAAUUGAGUGCCGAUUGGAUCUUUGGUAUUUAAUUCCAAAAAUUGUCAAUUUCCAAUACUUAUUUAGAAAAUCCCACGUGUCGGGUUUUGGCACCGAAAAAUAAUUUUUUUUUGUACUAUUUGAAAUAGUGGGAUUUCAAAAAGGAAGAAUAUCAAUUUUUCGAGGUCAAAUUGACCGUAUACCCACACACAAGUAACUUCAUGUGAAUUUCUAAUACGAAUAAAAAGGCCAAGCUCACCAUUUUAAUUGAAGCAUUUGAGUGCAAUGCACAGUGCCCUGGGCGAUAUUUGAAUGAUCGUGUGUUGGUUAAGAGAAAUCGUCCUGGGCUGUUGAGCUGGACGUUAUCCAUAUUUGGGAUACCCUUGGACAAUGGGAAGCCGGUCACAGUUAGGGGUGAUCGGUUCCCGGUUCGGUCCAGUUCCAAGGUGGAACCGGGAACCGGACCGGGAAAAUCGGUUCCCAAUUUUGGGAACCGUGAACCGAACCAUCGGUUCCGGUCCGGUCUGGUUCGGUCCAAUAGGAUCGGCACUUUCUUUUUUCACUAAAUAACAACCAUUCAUUAAAGAACGACCAUGCUCCGGAUCGAUCAAUCCAAUUCAGUUCCUGGGCGAUCUAAUAAAACUACUCACACAUGUUUUCACGUGCAAAAUAUUCAAACUUCACUUGCAUGAAUAUUAAUUAUAAUGUAUGUGUUUCACUCUUAAUUUUAAGCAUAAAAGCCAUGAACAAUUUGAGAAAAAUUUGUGCUUGGCUUAGGUUUUAUAGACAAUCUCACUUCUAUGCUUUGAAUGUUUAGUCGAUGUCAGACUCUUUGAGGCUUGAAGUGCCUUGUCCUUUGCAAGUGAGGGGAGCAAGAGAGAGAGUGAGCAUGAGAAACUCCUAGAGCCUUAUCCCACAUCGAGGAGAAGAUAAAACUAACAAAUAAAGUUUUCUAAGAGCUUUGGUGGUCUCUUGGCCACAUAAGAGGUUGUUACCUCAAUUGCAAUUUCAAUUGCAACAAGUUUCAUAUAUAAUAUUCAUAUAUUAUAUGUGUUUAUAUAUUAUAUGUAUAUAAAUUAUAUAUAAAAAAAUUCGGUCAGUCCGGUCAGUCCGGUUGGUCCAGUUCCCACCUUGGAACCAGGAACCGGACUGCCGACCGUGGAAACCGCCCAAAACAGGCCGGUCCGAUCCGGUUUGGUCCGGUCCCGGUUCAGGCGGUUUCCAUUGCACACCCCUAGUCGCAGUAAAUUCUGAACCCUAUGCUUCUUCGGGAAAGCCGCCUGAUAAAGAGACGUGCCAUGCUCAAUGGGAUGAGACGAUGCCUAGCAAUGCCAGAAGACCGCCGAACAGAGAGUAGGCCAUGUUAUAUGCCGAGAUCAAAACUAGGAACGCAUGAUUAAUUGAGUGUGGUGUUUCAGUUAUUGGAGCUUAUUGUUGCUCAUGCUCUUAUGUUGUAUGGGAUAUAAAUUGUACUGACCUGCAGGGUGGAUCUGAAACGAGCUAAGUCUCAUUGAUUGUGUGAUUGUGUGAUUAGGACACUUUUGGGCGUAUUUCCCUCCUAAUUGGGGUUUAGAGCUUAGACUUGCUGAGAUGAUAUCUCACCCCGUUGUGGGACAACAUUUUCAGGGUCGUCAAGUGGAGGACCUGGAGCUGAGAGAAGGUGAUCGGAAGCAUAGGUCAGUUAGGACCGCUUCUUUUUAGAAUGCCAGUCUUUUGUAGUCUUUUGGCAUAGAGAUUUGUACAAGAUUCGAUGUAUAUAUAAAAGCAUGUUUGUUUGUGAAUCUAUUGUCCUGCUUUUCUAUCCCGAGAUGAUUACUGUUAGGG
rnacentral:lncRNA from 1 species